rnacentral:rRNA from 1 species
CGAUGACCGGGACAACUCGGGGAAACUCGAGCUAAUACCGGAUGUGCUGCUCUCACAUCAGUGAGAUCAGGAAAGGUAGCUUCGGCUUCCGCAUCUGGAUGGGCCCGCGGCCCAUUAGCUUGUUGGUGAGGUAACGGCUCACCAAGGCUUCGAUGGGUAGCUGGUCUGAGAGGACGAUCAGCCACACUGGGACUGAGACACGGCCCAG